AGUGCUGCCAGAACGUGGUGCAAGAGUUCUGAGGGUCUGCAAUCCAGAAGACAUUGAAUGGUCGGUGGAGGGCCUCAUGGCCUGUUUCCCAUCCCCUUUCAUUGGCUUUACUCCAGGUGGUGAAGGGGGAUAAUGUCUCUGUCAAUUCUGCCAUUUUGGCUUAGCAGGAAAAGAGAGCCCAGAAGCAGGGCCUGGUACCCAGCCUGCCUAACAAGGGAGAAUUUGUAGGCUUUGUAGACAGAAAGAUCUGGGAGUCCAUAUCAACCAAUAACUUGCUGAGACAAUAAAAUCAGUUUUCCUUUCUGAACUACAUUUCUGUCAUCUGUAAAUUGAGCGGAUUUUUUUCUACUGCACAAGGCUGCUUGGAGAAUUACUGACAGUGUGUGUACAGCAGGUGCCACCCAGCAGGCAUUUGAUGUCCAGACCACUCCUCUUCCCCGUGGAUUUUCUGCCUAAAUUUGCAUUUUGUUCUUAAGACUUUCACUCCCCUUAAUUUUGCUCUUCCCUCUGAUUCCCACCUUGUUGUCUAUCCCAUGGAGUCAACAGGAUCAAAGUGGGUAACAGUCAUGUACGCUUGUAUGUGUAUGUACAGACACACCUUGUUGGGGUUGGAGUGUGGGGUGUGUGUGUGUGUGUGUGUGUGUGUGUGUGUGUGUGUUGGAGUCACUGACUGAAACUCUCCAUACUAGGCUGCGUUGCUGCUCAUUGCUGGAGGUGCUGUCAGGGUCCCUGCCCUCAACCCCAGGUCUGACCCUUGCAGUAGAGGCAGAGCUUUCAGGAGGAAUCAUGCCCUUGGAAGGAUCCCUGAGGAGUGACUGGUGGGUAUUGGUGGAUAAAUACCCCAACUCCCUUGCUGUGGGUAGGAUGACUCUGAGACACAUGUUCUGUGCUGUCUCUCAGAGGUACCUGACAGGGCUGAGUCCUGGCUGCCACCAUGGAAACGUUCUUGAUGAAGCUCCCUUUAACUGCUGCAUUCCUUUCCUGUCUCAGUUCCCCACUCCUCUACUAGUGUUUCCUGGGAUUACCACCCUAAGGAAGAACUUGCAGUAGAAUUACUGUCCUAGAGUCAUCUCCAAAUACAAUUUUUGUAUUUGAAUCUUUGCCUCAGGAUCUACUUCCGGGAAACUCAAACUAAGACACGCAUUUUUCUGUUGGCUCCUUCAAUCCCCAUAGGCCUGCCAUUGUGCUGUUUUUAUCAAAAAGGAACACGAGGAUCAGAGAGGGAAAGUCACCCAGCUGAACAGUGGUGGAGUUCAACUUUGACCAUGGGAUGUCUGACCCCAAGUUGGGUGCUUGCUUCUCUCUGAUGAGACUCCUCCCUUAUCAGGGUCAAAUGAGUGAAUGGAGGAUUUUAAAAGCAGGGUCUCUGAGGCCUGUGCCAGAGAAACCCCAGGCUCAUGGCUCGUGUCUGUGCAUUCACUCGUAACCUCGUUAAGAGUAAUAAUGAAAAACAUGCUCAGGGCUGACCAUUUUCUUGGGGCUGUUGUUGUAGGCACUCUGCUUACUUUAAUUCAUGUAAUUUUCACAAUAACCUUGUUUUUAAUUCUAGUUGUUAGAUGAAAAAACUGUGGCACAGAGCAAUACAGAGAGUUGCAAAAAUUCAUAUCACUGGUCCAGGUUGAACCAAGCAGUCUGCACCUGGAGUCCUUGUUUGUAACCAUGGCACCCUGGCUUCUCAGAUGUCUCAUAGUGGAGUUCCACCAUGUGUCAGGCAUGGCACUGAGCAGCUUCUUUUAAGAACAUAAUUUGUAAUUAUGUAGAUUACUAAUUCUACUUCAAAAUGCCACACAGCCUUCCUGUGAUAAAAUGAAACUAUUGCUCAUCUGAUCUCCUAGGAUCUCUUCUAAGAUACUGGCAGCCUGGUCUGCCCCUGGACGUUCCUUCAAGUCCCGGUUAUGCUUCAUGAACUGUAUUGUGGUGAGUGCCAUUUUUCAGACCCUGGUCAGAGUGCAAUGUUCCGUGGGAACUCAGGCCAUGAGAAACAUCCUUCCUAACCUCCUGACUGCAGAAACAUCCUUAUCACAUCCUGCCAGGCCAAAGCCCAACAGCCUGACUGCAGGUACCUCCUUGCCACAUCCUGCUGGGCAGCAAGCUCUACCUCCCAGAGCCCUCCCUUCCAGUCCCGUGAUUACCCAGCCUGUGAGCAGCAGUUGGCACUGGCACUAAGCUGGAUUCCUCCUCCGCAGGAUUUUGCUCACUGUAAGGAUGUUGCUGUUGAAGCUGCCAACUGUCUCUGUCUUUCUUUAACCCUCGCUUUGCCUUCAAAACCUAACAAUAAUUCUACCUCUCUAUUUUACCAAGGAGGAUAUGGGACUCAAGGAGAGCAAGAGACUUACCCAGAAUUACACAGCCAGUGGGUCAUAGAGCCUGAACUUGAACUCAGUUCAGCUGAAUCCAGAACUUGUUUCUCCCUGAGAUUCCAGGGAAGGAAAAGUGGAACUGCAGCCAGAGGGUGCCCACGUGCUUGUCCUUGGAGACCCCAGGCGGGCUCCUUGGAAUUGUGUCUUCAUGGGCCCAACAGAAGAUCUCAGCUGUGUUGCAUCAGCUAAGUGUCCCCAUUGUCCCAAAUUGUUAUUUCGUUUCAAAGUUUUGUUUUAAUAAUUAAAUUUCUCACAGCUCAGUGUUGAAAACAAAACACAGAGGCAUG